rnacentral:rRNA from 1 species
AUUGAACGCUGGCGGCAGGCCUAACACAUGCAAGUCGAGCGAGUGGCGGACGGGUGAGUAAUGUCUGGGAACCUGCCCGAUGGAGGGGGAUAACUACUGGAAACGGUUGCUAAUACCGCAUACCAUCGGAUGUGCCCAUAUGGGAUUAGCUAGUGGGUGGGGUAAUGGCUCACCUAGGCCACGAUCCCUAGCUGGUCUGAGAGGAUGACCAGCCACACGGGAACUGAGACACGGCCCAGACUCCUACGGUAGGCAGCAGUGGGGAAUAUUGCACAAUGGGCGCAAGCCUGAGACAGCCAUGCCGCGUGUAUGAAGAAGGCCUUCGGGUUGUAAAGUACUUUCAGCGAGGAGGCGUUACUCGCAGAAGAAGCACCGGCUAACUCCGUGCCAGCAGCCGCGGUAAUAC